CCCCGCCCUCGGAGCUCGCAGCCUAGCCAGCGAGAAUCUCCUGGAAGUGCGAGUUGCUUAGACGAAGUCACACACCCACGGAGGGAAGUGAUCUGGAGGCUGCCGUGAGUCUGUGAUCUUGACCAUCAUUCAAUACUUCAUCUCAAAAAAGGCAAAAGUAUCCCAAGGACUACUCCUGACCCAUUGCCCAUAACUCUCUCAGAUUUUAAACUCAAUGGCGAUAUGGACCCUGUGGUUUACCAUUCUAUCCCAGUGUGCACCACCGCUCUCGGAUGAAAACGGGCCACAUUUGCUAUUGUGCAAAAGUAUAAAAUGGGUUUCAAGUGAUCAGGUCUUUUAGAAUGAGUUGGUAUCCUACGAUUUCUGUGGCCCAGAGAAUUCCCAGAUGUGGGCACAGUAUGAGGGUUCUGCUUUUGAUCCCAAGGAAACAUUUCAAGCCUUAUAUUACUGAAGACAAAGGGGACAUCCUAAAUUUAAAAAGCGGAAGUACUUGAAGUACUCCUUCCUGGGUUGGAGUCACAUCAGCCAGCUCUUCCCACAUUGCUUCGUUUCACCAUCUCUCAAGGACUUCUCUAUUUGCAUAUAACCAUCUUCACUCUUAGAUUUUGCCACAGGGCACAUGCACUCACCAGAGACGG